GCCCGACUAGCGCAAUGGUAGCGCGCAUGACUUCUACAGGUUCCCCCUUUGGGAGUACAUCAUGAGGCUGUGGGUUCGAGUUCCACGUUGGGCU